CUCUUUGUUGCAUUGCAUUUGGACUAUGCUCUAGCUAUCAUCUGUGUCCUUACUAAAGCAUUUCCUGCUUUGUAAGUGUCAGUGUAUUCUUGUGUAUUAGUAUCCGUGACUCUGCAAUGCAGUGUGAGCAGUGGGGUGAUGAUCAAAACCCAUGGAUUGUGUCAUUUUGGGUGAAGAACAGUACACCUGUGACCCGGCUGUGCUCAGGCAGCCAUGGGUAUGGAGUAAUGAUAACAAAAAGAUAGCCUCCAGAUACUCAUCACAUGCCAACAGGAUUACGGUGGAGCUCUGUGUGCUGGCUGCAUGCUGAAUCUUUAUCCCAGCGAGAGCAGACCAGGACUGCUAUCAGCCUUUCCUUUCUUUUGCCUUGCUAUUUUAGAAAUAAAUUUUAUAUGUGGAGGCCAGUAAGGAGCUCCUGCAUUUGACAGUUGUGGUCUCUUAUUCUGUGCUUGGUCUGGAUAUGAUCAAUGAGGAGAGCUAAACACAUUGGAACAGAUUUCUCCUGUCACGUUUGGCUCCAUCAAAUUGUUGGAC
rnacentral:lncRNA from 1 species